rnacentral:piRNA from 1 species
UAGCAAACCAUUGUUAGUUAUCAGAGCC